rnacentral:sRNA from 1 species
UCUUGCGAGCACUUCGCAGACCGUCGCUAAUGAAUCUUGGGGCCGGUGUCGGGCCGGGGCGGCUUGAUCGGCAACUAGGAAACCCCAGGCGCAGAGGCCAGGAGCUAGGGCAGCGAGGAUCAGAGGCCAGGCCUUCCCGGCUGCCGGCGCUCCUCGGAGGUCAGGGCAGAUAAGGAACAUGACUCUCCCCCUCCGGAGGAGGAAGGAAGUCCCGCUGCCACCUUAUCUCUGCUCCUCUGCCUCCUCCCUGUUCCCAGAGCUUUUUCUCUAGAGAAGAUUUUGAAGGCGGCUUUUGUGCUGACGGCCACCCACCAUCAUCUAAAGAAGAUAAACUUGGCAAAUGACAUGCAGGUUCUUCAAGGCAGAAUAAUUGCAGAAAAUCUUCAAAGGACCCUAUCUGCAGAUGUUCUGAAUACCUCUGAGAAUACAGAUUGAUUAUUCAAACAGGAUACCUAAUUCAAGGUAUUAGCUCUUGUCAGAAAGCUUUUACAUUUGAGCUCUGUGUUGGAAAUUCUAUUUUGGCAAUGAAUUGAAAUAGGAAAAGUUGG